GACUACGUUUUCUCUUUAUCCUUAUCUGUUCUGGUUGUCAGCUUCCUGUUUACUGUGUACCAGACCCCGGCUAGUCCUAGUUUACACUGUCUCUCUGUGUCCUUGACUUCGGAUCGUUCCUGACUCUGCCUCCUCUUAUAUACGUCGAGUCCGGCCAUUCUAAGGUCCGGUAGACGUAUCUCUCCUCUGUGUUGUCUUCUGUUUAGCCGAAUCCUGCGUGUUGGGGUAUAUUCU